rnacentral:rRNA from 1 species
UACGGAGGGGGCUAGCGUUGUUCGGAAUUACUGGGCGUAAAGCGCACGUAGGCGGCUUUGUAAGUUAGAGGUGAAAGCCCGGGGCUCAACUCCGGAAUUGCCUUUAAGACUGCAUCGCUAGAAUUGUGGAGAGGUAAGUGGAAUUCCGAGUGUAGAGGUGAAAUUCGUAGAUAUUCGGAAGAACACCCGUGGCUAAGGCGGCUCUCUAGUACGGUACUGACGCUGAGACGCGAAAAGCGUGGGGAGCGAACAGG